UACAUAGGGGGCUAGCGUUAUCCGGAAUUACUGGGCGUAAAGGGUGCGUAGGUGGUUUCUUAAGUCAGAGGUGAAAGGCUACGGCUCAACCGUAGUAAGCCUUUGAAACUGGGAAACUUGAGUGCAGGAGAGGAGAGUGGAAUUCCUAGUGUAGCGGUGAAAUGCGUAGAUAUUAGGAGGAACACCAGUUGCGAAGGCGGCUCUCUGGACUGUAACUGACACUGAGGCACGAAAGCGUGGGGAGCAAACAGG
rnacentral:rRNA from 1 species